rnacentral:rRNA from 1 species
CUGUGAGCUCGAUGAGUAGGGCGGGACACGUGGUAUCCUGUCUGAAUAUGGGGGGACCAUCCUCCAAGGCUAAAUACUCCUGACUGACCGAUAGUGAACCAGUACCGUGAGGGAAAGGCGAAAAGAACCCCGGCGAGGGGAGUGAAAAAGAACCUGAAACCGUGUACGUACAAGCAGUGGGAGCCUCUUAAUGGGGUGACUGCGUACCUUUUGUAUAAUGGGUCAGCGACUUAUAUUCUGUAGCAAGGUUAACCGAAUAGGGGAGCCGAAGGGAAACCGAGUCUUAACUGGGCGUUAAGUUGCAGGGUAUAGACCCGAAACCCGGUGAUCUAGCCAUGGGCAGGUUGAAGGUUGGGUAACACUAACUGGAGGACCGAACCGACUAAUGUUGAAAAAUUAGCGGAUGACUUGUGGCUGGGGGUGAAAGGCCAAUCAAACCGGGAGAUAGCUGGUUCUCCCCGAAAGCUAUUUAGGUAGCGCCUCGUGAAUUCAUCUCCGGGGGUAGAGCACUGUUUCGGCAAGGGGGUCAUCCCGACUUACCAACCCGAUGCAAACUGCGAAUACCGGAGAAUGUUAUCACGGGAGACACACGGCGGGUGCUAACGUCCGUCGUGAAGAGGGAAACAACCCAGACCGCCAGCUAAGGUCCCAAAGUCAUGGUUAAGUGGGAAACGAUGUGGGAAGGCCCAGACAGCCAGGAUGUUGGCUUAGAAGCAGCCAUCAUUUAAAGAAAGCGUAAUAGCUCACUGGUCGAGUCGGCCUGCGCGGAAGAUGUAACGGGGCUAAACCAUGCACCGAAGCUGCGGCAGCGACGUUUAUGCGUUGUUGGGUAGGGGAGCGUUCUGUAAGCCUGCGAAGGUGUACUGUGAGGUAUGCUGGAGGUAUCAGAAGUGCGAAUGCUGACAUAAGUAACGAUAAAGCGGGUGAAAAGCCCGCUCGCCGGAAGACCAAGGGUUCCUGUCCAACGUUAAUCGGGGCAGGGUGAGUCGACCCCUAAGGCGAGGCCGAAAGGCGUAGUCGAUGGGAAACAGGUUAAUAUUCCUGUACUUGGUGUUACUGCGAAGGGGGGACGGAGAAGGCUAUGUUGGCCGGGCGACGGUUGUCCCGGUUUAAGCGUGUAGGCUGGUUUUCCAGGCAAAUCCGGAAAAUCAAGGCUGAGGCGUGAUGACGAGGCACUACGGUGCUGAAGCAACAAAUGCCCUGCUUCCAGGAAAAGCCUCUAAGCAUCAGGUAACAUCAAAUCGUACCCCAAACCGACACAGGUGGUCAGGUAGAGAAUACCAAGGCGCUUGAGAGAACUCGGGUGAAGGAACUAGGCAAAAUGGUGCCGUAACUUCGGGAGAAGGCACGCUGAUAUGUAGGUGAAGUCCCUCGCGGAUGGAGCUGAAAUCAGUCGAAGAUACCAGCUGGCUGCAACUGUUUAUUAAAAACACAGCACUGUGCAAACACGAAAGUGGACGUAUACGGUGUGACGCCUGCCCGGUGCCGGAAGGUUAAUUGAUGGGGUUAGCGGUAACGCGAAGCUCUUGAUCGAAGCCCCGGUAAACGGCGGCCGUAACUAUAACGGUCCUAAGGUAGCGAAAUUCCUUGUCGGGUAAGUUCCGACCUGCACGAAUGGCGUAAUGAUGGCCAGGCUGUCUCCACCCGAGACUCAGUGAAAUUGAACUCGCUGUGAAGAUGCAGUGUACCCGCGGCAAGACGGAAAGACCCCGUGAACCUUUACUAUAGCUUGACACUGAACAUUGAGCCUUGAUGUGUAGGAUAGGUGGGAGGCUUUGAAGUGUGGACGCCAGUCUGCAUGGAGCCG